GAUGAACGCUAGCGGCAGGCUUAACACAUGCAAGUCGAGGGGUAUAGUAGCAAUACUAGAGACCGGCGCACGGGUGCGUAACGCGUAUGCAACCUACCUUUUACAGAGGGAUAGCCCAGAGAAAUUUGGAUUAAUACCUCAUAGUGUUAUUAGAUGGCAUCAUUUGAUAACUAAAGUUCCAAACGGUAAAGAUGGGCAUGCGUCCUAUUAGCUAGAUGGUAAGGUAACGGCUUACCAUGGCUACGAUAGGUAGGGGUCCUGAGAGGGAGAUCCCCCACACUGGUACUGAGACACGGACCAGUACUCCUACGGGAGGCAGCAGUGAGGAAUAUUGGACAAU
rnacentral:rRNA from 1 species